GAUCCAGAUAUAUUGGCAGCUAAUGCAUCAUCUGCUGCUCUAAUGUUGUCAGAUAUUCCUUGGGGUGGGCCAAUUGGAGUAAUACGUAUUGGAAGGAUUUCAGGUCAAUUUGUUGUAAAUCCAAGCAUGGAGGAGCUUAGCAUCAGUGAUCUUAACUUGGUAUAUGCAUGUACGAGGGAUAAAACUUUGAUGAUAGAUGUCCAAGCUCGUGAAAUAUCUGAAAAGGAUUUGGAAGCUGCUUUGAGACUUGCUCAUCCAGAGGCUGUUAAGUAUCUU
rnacentral:misc_RNA from 1 species